rnacentral:lncRNA from 1 species
GCACCUGGAGUGACCGGUUUCACGUUCGUCGGAGCUCGGUCGGUUUUCGAUCCGAAACGAAAAUCUUUCAAUCGGGAUAUCUCGAGCUGUAGUGCAUCGUUUUGAUUGAUUCAUUUUCCAGUGGGUUCGCCUUGAUGUUCUUAACAACUCUCUAGAAGGAAUCAAGGCCUAAAAUUGAAGUUUUUACGUCGAAAAUUGAGCUCGCCUGUUUCUGGAAAUUUUCGCCGGUUUCUGGAAAAUUUCCGGCCACAUUCAUACUGUUCAAGGUGAUUGACGGUCUUCCUUGGGUGAGCGGUUUCGGUGUGUAUUGUGUUGAAGUGAAGACGCAGCGGGACUAGAGAUGUGUGAUUAUAUAUGGAAUGCGGGUAAUCCUGUAGGUCAGGAGAAUCAGGGCGGUGAUCGUGCGGGUUAGAGCAUUUGUUAUAAUUUUACAGCAAUUGUAAUAGUGAGGUGAGUUAAGCUCAUUUGAGCCUUGCAAUUUGAUUUGGUGAGAGUGUGCUGUAAUAAAUAACUUGAGAAUGUGGUUUAUUGUAUUAUUGAGAGGUGUGAAGUGUGGUUGUUUUUGAGAAAAAAAUUCAGGACGUUGGUUUGUAAUAGUUAUUAUUCAUGUUUCGGAUUUGAAUUGUUUAUUUAAAAUUCGGGGCGU